CCUACGGGAGGCAGCAGUGAGGAAUAUUGGUCAAUGGGCGAGAGCCUGAACCAGCCAAGUCGCGUGAAGGAUGACGGCCCUACGGGUUGUAAACUUCUUUUGUCAGGGAGCAAUUGGGUCCACGCGUGGGCUUAUCGAGAGUACCUGAAGAAAAAGCAUCGGCUAACUCCGUGCCAGCAGCCGCGGUAAUACGGAGGAUGCGAGCGUUAUCCGGAUUUAUUGGGUUUAAAGGGUGCGUAGGCGGGUUAUCAAGUCAGCGGUAAAAUCGUGGAGCUCAACUCCAUCCAGCCGUUGAAACUGAUGAGCUGGAGUGGGCGAGAAGUAUGCGGAAUGCGUGGUGUAGCGGUGAAAUGCAUAGAUAUCACGCAGAACUCCGAUUGCGAAGGCAGCAUACCGGCGCCCGACUGACGCUGAAGCACGAAAGCGUGGGUAUCGAACAGGAUUAGAUACCCCAGUAGUC
rnacentral:rRNA from 1 species